rnacentral:lncRNA from 1 species
AACAUCUCAGACAGGCCAUGGGCAUGAAAUCAUGUCAAGCCCAAAUAUCUAUCCAUAUGUAUCUCAGUUUGAUGACGAUAACUCGAUUGAUAAACUAGUAAAAAUCUUUUAUACUAUUCAUCCCUACUUUGGCCAGAGACUCUUAGAGUCAUCAUCCUAUGAGAUCACAUAGGAUGUUCUCUCCUCCUACAAGGAGGGAUCAAUUUCAUGUUGACCACUCACA